UACGGUGGGGGCAAGCGUUGUUCGGAAUUACUGGGCGUAAAGGGCUCGUAGGCGGCCAACUAAGUCCGACGUGAAAUCCCCAGGCUUAACCUGGGAACUGCGUCGGAUACUGGAUGGCUUGAAUCCGGGAGAGGGAUGCAGAAUUCCAGGUGUAGCGGUGAAAUGCGUAGAUAUCUGGAGGAAUACCGGUGGCGAAGGCGGCAUCCUGGACCGGCAUUGACGCUGAUGAGCGAAAGCUAGGGGAGCAAACGGG
rnacentral:rRNA from 1 species